UAAAAUCUUAUAGUGCUGGUAUAUUAACUGCACUUUCUAAUCGGAUUGGUGAUGUUGCUAUUUUAAUUUCUAUUGCAUGAAUGUUAAAUUUUGGUGGUUGAAAUUAUAUUUAUUAUUAUGAUUUUAUUUCUAAUUCUUUUGAAAUAAAGCUCAUUACUAUAUUAAUUGUUUUAGCAGCUAUAACUAAGAGAGCUCAGAUUCCUUUCUCUUCAUGACUUCCUGCUGCUAUAGCAGCUCCUACUCCUGUUUCUGCUUUAGUUCAUUCUUCUACUCUUGUUACUGCUGGUGUUUAUUUAUUAAUUCGUUUUAGACCAAUAUUGGAUACUUAUAAUUGUGGUUGAUUUUUACUUUUAAUUGGUUGUAUAACUAUAUUUAUGGCUGGAUUGGGCGCUAAUUUUGAGUUUGAUUUAAAGAAGAUUAUUGCUCUUUCUACUUUAAGACAACUUGGUUUAAUAAUAAGAAUUUUGGCUAUAGGUUAUCCAAAGCUUGCAUUUUUUCAUUUAUUGGCUCAUGCUUUAUUUAAGGCAUUAUUAUUUAUAUGUGCAGGUUCAAUAAUUCAUAAUUUGAAGGAUUCUCAGGAUAUUCGUUUUAUAGGAUCAAUUGUUAAUUUCAUACCUUUAACUUCAGUUUGUUUUAAUGUUUCUAGUUUAUCUUUGUGUGGAAUACCUUUUUUAGCGGGAUUUUAUUCAAAGGAUUUAAUUCUUGAGAUGGUUUGUUUAAGAUGAAUUAAUUGUUUAAUUUUUUUUCUUUAUUUUUUUUCUACUGGUUUAACUGCUUCUUAUUCUUUUCGUUUGUUUUAUUAUUCAAUAUCUGGUGAUAAUAAUUUUUAUUCUAAAUUUUCUUUUGAUGAUAAGGGUUAUUAUAUUUCAUUUGGAAUAUUUGGUCUAUUGUUUGUUGCUGUUUUUGGUGGUAGUCUUUUAUCUUGAUUAAUUUUUCCUAUUCCUCAUGUGAUUGCUUUACCUUAUUAUUUAAAGUUUUUAACUAUUACAGUUGUUAUUUUAGGUGCUUAUUUAGGUUAUCUUAUUUCUAAUUUUGAUUUUUCUCAUAAUUUAUUUUCUUUAAGUAUACUUUCUUUUGUUAGAUUUGCUGGUUCUAUAUGAUUUAUACCUUUUCUUUCAACUAAGUUUAUUAGAUAUAUUCCUUUAAAAAUAGGUUAUUAUUCAUCUAAGUCAUUUGAUUAUGGUUGAGGUGAAUUACUUGGUGGUCAAGGUUUAUAUAGAUUAUUUAUUUAUUUAAUUGGUUAUAUUCAAGGUUGAUAUGAUUCUAAUUUCAAGAUUUAUCUUUUAACUUUUAUUUUUUGAAUAUUUAUUUUGGUAAUAUUGUUUUUCGUUUA